rnacentral:rRNA from 1 species
CUUUACUGUAGCUUUGCAUUGGACUUUGACGGGACUUGUGUAGGAUAGGUGGGAGGCUGUGAGGCGUGGUCGCCAGAUCGCGCGGAGCCGACGUUGAAAUACCACCCUGGUGUCGUUGAGGUUCUAACCUGGGCCCCUGAAUCGGGGUCGGGGACCGUGCAUGGCAGGCAGUUUGACUGGGGCGGUCUCCUCCUAAAGGGUAACGGAGGAGUACGAAGGUCUUCUAGGUACGGUCGGACAUCGUACUGAUAGUGCAAUGGCAAAAGAAGGCUUGACUGCGAGACUGACAAGUCGAGCAGGUGCGAAAGCAGGUCAUAGUGAUCCGGUGGUUCUGUAUGGAAGGGCCAUCGCUCAACGGAUAAAAGGUA